UUAAUGCACAAGUCUGACCAUGUCACUUUCCCAUACUCAGACACUUCUAGUGUAUCCUUACGGCUCAAAGGAUAAAACAAAAGCUCCUCAGCCUAGCACUCACAGCUUUCUGUAAUGUGGCUCUAAGUUUCCAUUAGCCUUAUUUCAUAUUACUCAUUUUCAUACUAUUUUGAGCCAAACCAAAAUGACUAAUUGUUCCCUGAACUUAACAUAUCAUCUCCUACCUUCAUGCAUUUUUCUGCAGGCUAAUCCAAGGCCUGGAAUGUACUCCUGCCUCAUCUCUGCAGGCCAUCUCCAGUCAUGCUGUCUCCACUCAACUCCUCUCGGGUCAUCAUCUCUACUCCCUCCCCACCGGAAAGCUAGACUGCAUCCCUGAAACCACCCUAAGCUUAAAGAGGUCAAUUCUGGCCUUGUCUUAUCUUGAACAUCUCCAGAGGAAAACAGAGCCUCAGUUUCCCUAAGUGACCAGCCCACAGCCAAACAGCUAGGGAGUGGCAGAGAACAUUAGCCUCAGACUAAAGGUGGAAGAAACCUUAGAGAUUAACCAGUCCCACUUCCUCAUCCUGGAGCUGAGCAAACAGAAACAAAGUGAAAUAACCUGCUCAAGGUCUAGCUCACCCUUCCUGUGAACCUGGGCUUCUCAUCCGUCUGAUGAUUUCUGACUCAUUGCUUCACUCUGACCUUUGAUCCAUCCACAAUUCUGAAAUUCUGGCUACCUGCCUGGCUGGUGACCCAGGACCUGGCCUAAAUCCUUAUCAUGUACACUUCUCCGGCUCUACUGGACCAUGAUUCCUGCUUUGUUUCUCAGCUAAAAUGAUUUUGUUUAUGGGGGGGAG